rnacentral:rRNA from 1 species
CGGCAAAAGCUCAAAUUUGAAAUCUGGUACCUUCGGUGCCCGAGUUGUAAUUUGGAGAGGGCAACUUUGGGGCCGUUCCUUGUCUAUGUUCCUUGGAACAGGACGUCAUAGAGGGUGAGAAUCCCGUGUGGCGAGGAGUGCGGUUCUUUGUAAAGUGCCUUCGAAGAGUCGAGUUGUUUGGGAAUGCAGCUCUAAGUGGGUGGUAAAUUCCAUCUAAAGCUAAAUAUUGGCGAGAGACCGAUAGCGAACAAGUACAGUGAUGGAAAGAUGAAAAGAACUUUGAAAAGAGAGUGAAAAAGUACGUGAAAUUGUUGAAAGGGAAGGGCAUUUGAUCAGACAUGGUGUUUUGUGCCCUCUGCUCCUUGUGGGUAGGGGAAUCUCGCAUUUCACUGGGCCAGCAUCAGUUUUGGUGGCAGGAUAAAUCCAUAGGAAUGUAGCUUGCCUCGGUAAGUAUUAUAGCCUGUGGGAAUACUGCCAGCUGGGACUGAGGACUGCGACGUAAGUCAAGGAUGCUGGCAUAAUGGUUAUAUGCCGCCCG